rnacentral:ncRNA from 1 species
GAUAAAUUUUUUAUAUUUUGUAUAAUUUAUUAUAAAUUUAUUUUACAUGUAAAUUUUAGUAUAAAAUUUUAAUUAUUUUAAUAAUAAUUAAUUUAAAUAUACAGUAAUUAAAAUUAAAAAUUUAAGAAAUUAAGAUUUAGUAAUAUUUAAAUUAAUAACUAAUUUUGUGCCAGCAGUUGCGGUUAAACAAAAGUUAAAUUAAAUUAUUUCAGUAUAUAAUAAAUAAUAAUUAAUUAAAUUAAAUAUUAAAUUAUUAAGUGAAAUUUUAAUUUAAUUAAAAAUUAUUUAAAAAUUAUGAUUUAAUAAAUUUUAUUUUAGACUAGGAUUAGAUACCCUAUUAUUACAAAUUUAAUUAAAAAAUACUAAAAUAGUAGAUAAAAUAUUAUUGAAACUUAAAUAAUAUGGCGGUAUUUUAGUUCAUUUAGAGGAAUCUGUUUAGUAAUUGAUAAUCCACGAAUAAAUUUACUUAAUUUUUAAUUUUAUAUAUCAUUGUUAAAAAAAUAUUUUUUAAUAAAAAUAAUAUUUUAAAAUUUAAAAUAAAAUUUAAUUCAGAUCAAGAUGUAGAUUAUAAUUGAGUUUAAAAUGGAUUACAAUAAAUUUAUUUAAACGAAAAGAAUUUUUGUAAAAUUUAAUUGAAGGUGGAUUUAAAUGUAAUUUUAAUUAAUUUAUUAAAAUGAUUAAAAAUUGAAAUAUGUACAUAUUGCCCGUCACUUUCAUUUUAAAAUUGAAAUAAGUCGUAACAAAGUAGAGGUACUGGAAAGUGUUUCUAGAAUGAA